UCCAUCGUGGUGUAGUGGCUAACAUUGCUGUCUUUCAUCAAUAACUACCUAUAAUAAACACAGCAGCCCGGGGUUCGAUUCCCCGCGAUGGAA